CGCCUCCUGGUGGCACAGUUGACAACAGUCUGGUAGUGACGCCUGUCAGCAUGGUUCCUCUUCCUCUCCAGGGCUGGCUUACCCAGCCCCAAAGGACCCCACUCCCGGGGGUCUGGGGACCCUGAAGGCUCUUGUCUGACCCCUCUCCCCACCUGUAUUUCCUGGCUGGCCUUGCGUGACUCUGUGUUUAGAAGAACCGACGAGUUUAUUAGAGAAGGAAAGACUGCACUGUGUGACCUUGAAUAAGACAGUUUGCCCGUGCCUCAGUUUCCCUGACUUUCACGCAAGGAUCACCACGGUUUCCUCUGACAAGUUCCUGAGAUGGCAGGGAAGCAUGCGUGUUAGGGCUGGGAAGGCCACCGCGGGGAGGUUUCGUACCCUCAGCAUAAUUGCCAUUAGGGGCCAGAUCACUUGGUGGGGACCGUCCGUGCACUGUAGGGUGUUGAACAGCUUCCCUGGCCUUGACCUCCUAGAUGCCAGGAGCACCCCUGAGCUGGGAUAAUCAAAAACUGUCUCCAGAUAAGGGCAAUGUCCCCUGAGUGCAGGAUUGCCAAAUAAAAUAGUUAAAUUUGAAUUUAACUUUGAAAAUUUGAAUUUCAGAUAAGCACAUAAUGUUUUUGUAUAAUUAUGUCCAAAGACUGCAUUUUUAUUUCCUAAAUCUGGAAACCCUUCCUGAGGGACAAAAUCACUCCAGCUGGCACUAGCCAGUGCCCUUGUGAGUUUUUGACACCUGUUUCAAGAACUCACACCAGGCUGAGGGCUAAGGCGGCAGAUGGGGAAGUUGUGGCAGGGGCGGAACUUGCCCCAGCCUGGCAGGGGGAGGGGUGCCGUCUUGCGCGAGUGGGACAGGCAGGCCCAGGAGUGAUGAGCGUGAACUAGAGAGUGCUGUGCAGGAGGAAGCUGGGGCCGCCGUUGGGCCUUCUCCCUCCAGGGGCCCAAGAGCCACUGGUACCCAGUGUCUGGGUGGGGGCAGGGGGCAUUUUUGUUCUCCCAGCACCUGCUCCUGUUGAGACCAGAGAACUUGGUGGUCGACCACAGGCUGGGGUAUUAGUUCACCCCUAGCUUCUCCCCAGCGAGAUCCCAGGGCCCUUGGGCACAGGGGAUUAAGCCUCAGUCUGCUUACGUGCAAGCAGAAGAAAGAGGCCCAGAGAGCAACAGUGGCGGGUCUGCAGUCACACAGCCAACUUGCGCUUGUGGCAGUGGCAAGGUUGAAGUUCUGAGGGUACCCCUCACUCAAGCUCCAGGCGUCAGGAAAAGAACAUUCCACGAAGUCCAUCUGGAAGACGGUCCUUUUCCUGCUGCCCCCAGAUGACAGAAAAAUCCAGCCAGAAUUGGCAUCUGUCAAGAUAGGCUUUUAGGAGCCAUGGCUCCCUAGAGUGGUCUCCACACAUUCUGAUUAUAUGCAAUCUCAUUUUGCCAUCAAGAGACUUAACCCACUCCCCUAUCCAUGUAGACUUUGUAAUAAUAAAUUAUACAUAUAUAUGACUGAA